rnacentral:lncRNA from 1 species
AUCUCAAUCAACACCCUGUUGUUCUCAGGCACAACACAACCCAGAGCUCUCCCAGCAUUCAGUUUGUGAGCAGACAGCCUCCUUCCUCUGUGAAGCUGAGGGUCUGAGCUCUCGCUGAUGCCAAAUCUGGAUGUGCGUCAGGUGACAGCUGGUUAGCCUUCUUCUUUUCACUUUUUUUUAGACAGGAUUGGCUGCAGAGCUAAGUUUGUCUCUAACUUGAGAACUUUCUGCCUCAGCCUUCUGAGUGUUGAGAUUGCAGGUGUGAGCCACCAUGCCCAGUCCCCGGAACCACUGAGCUAAAUCCCUGGCCCUGGCUCAGUCUUUAUAGCAGGGACUACUGUGGACAAGCUCAUCACUAUUGGAGGUGCCAGACCCUGGAGAGGAAGUCCAAGUUUUUCAGAGGCAAAUGAGGAUCUCUAAUGACUUAACAAGGGAUCGAACUCGGGUCCUUGUGCUUGUGCAGCAGGUGAUGAAACCACUGAGCUAAAUCCUCGGCCUGGCCCUCCACUUCUUACAUCCAACCAUUUGUCUAGAUGUCCUUUGCUGGUCACCCAGUGGUUGGUGCUGGCAUUUUGCCGUUGGAUGCAGGUAAGUGGCAUGAGAAAUCCACUUGAUCACAACUGUAGGCUAAACAUGCACAAGAGUGGGCAUCAGAGGCAAUAGGUUGCCAGAGCCAGACCUCUCCCAACAUCUACACAGCAUGUAUGAUU